rnacentral:rRNA from 1 species
GACAGAGGGUGCAAACGUUGUUCGGAAUUACUGGGCGUAAAGCGCGUGUAGGCGGCCCUGCAAGUCGGAUGUGAAAUCCCACGGCUCAACCGUGGAAGUGCAUUCGAAACUGCAGGGCUAGAGUCCUGGAGAGGAAGGUGGAAUGCUUGGUGUAGAGGUGAAAUUCGUAGAUAUCAAGCGGAACACCGGUGGCCGAAGGCGGCCUUCUGGGACAGUGACUGACGCUGAGACGGCGAAAAGCGUGGGGAGCCAAACAGGG